GGCUGGGGCUGGACCUGACAGUCACAUGACAUCUCAGUUGUACAAGACACUGGUAGCCAGGGAGUUUGCCCCCCAAAGCCGAACAUCUUCCUACGCCACUGGUUACCAGAUGUUACAGGAAAAAUACUGAAAUCUGAUGUUGAUGGGCGACGAAGUACAAGUCCGUAGCGCCGAUGUCGUCGUCAAUGGCUUGUCCGUUGGUCCUCAAUCUACGUUGCCAACAUCUCCAACAAACUACACUAACAGUCGCACCUGCUGACGUCACGACUACACGCGCCUCACAACUGUGACCACAGUGACACACCUUGUAUUACAUUUACAUUGUAAACAUGUCAUUAUCAGCAGUCAGUUGUAACUCUAAAACAAACAUGACCGUCAGAUCGCAUUAUUGUUUUUACAGGAAUUUGUUGACAUAAACGUUUCGUCCGAACCUUGUAGAAAUUCGUUAGAU